rnacentral:rRNA from 1 species
UACAGAGAGUGCGAGCGUUAAUCGGAAUUACUGGGCGUAAAGCGCGCGUAGGCGGCUAUGCAAGUCGAGUGUGAAAUCCCCGGGCUCAACCUGGGAACUGCAUUCGAGACUGCAUUGCUUGAGUAUGGGAGAGGGAGGCGGAAUUUCAGGUGUAGCGGUGAAAUGCGUAGAUAUCGGAAGGAACGCCAGAGGCGAAAGCGCCACACUGGGUCUCAACUGACGCUGAGGCACGAAAGCCAGGGGAGCAAACGGG